AUUGAACGCUGGCGGCAGGCCUAACACAUGCAAGUCGAGCGAGCGGCGGACGGGUGAGUAAUGUCUGGGAAACUGCCUGAUGUAGGGGGAUAACUACUGGAAACGGUAGCUAAUACCGCAUACUAUCAGAUGUGCCCAGAUGGGAUUAGCUAGUAGGUGGGGUAACGGCUCACCUAGGCGACGAUCCCUAGCCGGUCUGGGAGGAUGACCAGCCACACAGGAACUGAGACACGGUACAGACGCCAACGGGAGGCAGCAGUGGGGAAUAUAGCACAAUGGGCGCAAGCCUGAUGCAGCCAUGCCGCGUGUGUGAAGAAGGCCUUCGGGGUGUAAAGCACUUUCAGCAGGGAGGCGUUACCCGCAGAAGAAGCACCGGCUAACUCCGAGCCAGCCGCCGCGGUAAUAC
rnacentral:rRNA from 1 species